AUAAGCGGAGGAAAAGAAACUAACAAGGAUUCCCCUAGUAACUGCGAGUGAAGCGGGAAAAGCUCAAAUUUAAAAUCUGGUGGUCUUUGGCCAUCCGAGUUGUAAUUUAGAGAAGCGUCUUCCGCGCCGGGCCGUGCACAAGUCUCCUGGAAUGGAGCGUCAUAGAGGGUGAGAAUCCCGUCUUUGGCACGGAUGCCUGUGCUUCUGCGAUGCGCUCUCGAAGAGUCGAGUUGUUUGGGAAUGCAGCUCAAAAUGGGUGGUGAACUCCAUCUAAAGCUAAAUAUUGGCGAGAGACCGAUAGCGAACAAGUACCGUGAGGGAAAGAUGAAAAGCACUUUGGAAAGAGAGUGAAACAGUACGUGAAAUUGUUGAAAGGGAAACGCUUGAAGUCAGUCGCGUCGACCGAGACUCAGCCUUGCCUUGGCUUGGUGUACUUCUCGGCUCGACGGGUCAGCGUCAAUUUUGCCCCUCGGAUAAUGGCAAGGGAAAGGUGGCACCUUUGCGGGUGUGUUAUAGUCUCCUGUCGCAUGCGAGGGGUGGGAUUGAGGAACUCAGCGCGCACCUUGGUGUCGGGGCUUCGGCCCACGUCACGCGCUUAGGAUGCUGGCGUAAUGGCUUUAAACGACCCGUCUUGAAACAC
rnacentral:rRNA from 1 species